CGGCAUCUCCACCUCGGACUCUUCUCCCAUCUGCCGAGCUGAGGGGUCAUGUACGAGUCUGAAGCUGAAGAACUGAAGUUCGUUUUAGUGAGUGGUUUGCUGCUGGGUUUUCAUGUCUAUAUGAAGGAAGGGCUUCUGGUAUUAGAGAAUGGUACUUUGGUGAUCUCUGUGUUAUCACCUUGAGGAUUGCAAGCCUCGUAGCUAGGGGCUUUGGUUCUCACAUGCAGCUUCGCAACAUUGUUUCUGAUCAUGUGUGUGAGUGUGUCGACAUCUCGCUCUCUAGCUCUUAAAUGUCUUUGCUGCUAUGGUUUUUCCAUCGCCAGUUCAAUUCGAGUGUUUGAUGGCCAA